GGAGGCAUAGCUCAGUUGGUCAGAGUACCUGCUUCACAUGUAGGGGGUCGCUGGUUCGAGCCCAGCUGUCUCCA
rnacentral:tRNA from 1 species